GACGAACGCUGGCGGCGUGCUUAACACAUGCAAGUCGAACGGAAAGGCCCUGCUUUUGUGGGGUGCUCGAGUGGCGAACGGGUGAGUAACACGUGAGUAACCUGCCCUUGACUUUGGGAUAACUUCAGGAAACUGGGGCUAAUACCGGAUAGGAGCUCCUGCUGCAUGGUGGGGGUUGGAAAGUUUCGGCGGUUGGGGAUGGACUCGCGGCUUAGCAGCUUGUUGGUGGGGUAGUGGCUUACCAAGGCUUUGACGGGUAGCCGGCCUGAGAGGGUGACCGGCCACAUUGGGACUGAGAUACGGCCCAGACUCCUACGGGAGGCAGCAGUGGGGAAUAUUGCACAAUGGGCGGAAGCCUGAGGCAGCAACGCCGCGUGCGGGAUGACGGCCUUCGGGUUGUAAACCGCUUUCGCCUGUGACGAAGCGUGAGUGACGGUAAUGGGUAAAGAAGCACCGGCUAACUACGUG
rnacentral:rRNA from 1 species